GACGAACGCUGGCGGCGUGCCUAACACAUGCAAGUCGAACGAAGAGCGAUGGACGCUUGUUUCUAUCACUCUUAGUGGCGAUCGGGUGAGGAACGCGAACUCAACCUGACCUUCAGUGGGGGCCAACAGUUGGAAACGACUGCUAAUACUGCAUACGAUCUAAUCUCGGUAUCGAGGAUAGAUGAAAGGUGGGCUCCACUUGUACGCCAACAAUGUAGGCGUGGAUUGCGUCUGAUUAGCUAGUUGGUGGGGUAACGGCCCACCAAGGCGAUGAUACGUAGCCGGUCUGAGAGGAUGAACGGCCACAUUGGGACUGAGACACGGCCCAGACUCCUACGGGAGGCAGCAGUAGGGAAUCUUCCGCAAUGGACGAAAGUCUGACCGAGCAACGCCGCGUGAGUGAUGAAGGCCUUCGGGUUGUAAAGCUCUGUUGAUCGGGACGAAAGGCCUUCUUGCGAAUAAGGAGAAGGAUUGACGGUACCGGAACAGAAAGCCACGGCUAACUACGUG
rnacentral:rRNA from 1 species